UUUUGGACAAUGGGCGCAAGCCUGAUCCAGCAAUGCCGCGUGCAGGAAGAAGGCCUUCGGGUUGUAAACUGCUUUUGUACGCCCACGCCCCCGGUCCUGGUUAAUACCUGGGGCUAAUGACGGUACCGUAAGAAUAAGCACCGGCUAACUACGUGCCAGCAGCCGCGGUAAUACGUAGGGUGCAAGCGUUAAUCGGAAUUACUGGGCGUAAAGCGUGCGCAGGCGGUUUUGUAAGUCAGAUGUGAAAUCCCCGAGCUCAACUUGGGAACUGGCUUUGAAACUACAAGACUAGAAUAGGUCAGAGGGGGGUAGAAUUCCACGUGUAGCAGUGAAAUGCGUAGAGAUGUGGAGGAAUAUCAAUGGCGAAGGCAGCCCCCUGGGAUCAUAUUGACGCUCAUGCACGAAA
rnacentral:rRNA from 1 species